rnacentral:lncRNA from 1 species
GUUUUGUGUUUCAUAAAACAAUUUCAAAGAUUUUUGCCAACAAAGAGGAACAGAAGAAUGAAGGAAAUAAAAAAGGAUGUUCGGUCCUCAAUUAGAGGUAUUAUCGAUAAAAGAUUGAAGGCAAUGGAAGCUGGGAACGCGGAUAAUGAGGAUCUAUUGGGCAUAUUGCUGGAAUCGAAUUUUAAAGAAAUUGAACUGCACGGAAAUAAGGACUUUGGAAUGAGCAUUGAAGAAGUCAUUGAAGAAUGCAAGCUAUUCUAUUUUGCUGGCGCAGAAACUACAUCAGUGUGGAUUCUGUGGACUCUGGUGUUGUUGAGCAGAUAUCCAGAUUGGCAGGCACGGGCCAGAGAAGAAGUCUUGCAAGUGUUUGGGAGUCGGAAACCAGAUUUUGAUGGCUUAAAUCAUCUAAAAGUUGUAAGUAUUCUUGUUGUUUGGUUCAAUUUCUAUGCCAUGGGUACUCUCGUUGUUAUUUCUACAAGCACGUGUGAAUUUCUUUUGAUUAUCUCGUUCAUGGUUGCUUAACUGAUAGAGGAGCAUUUCUGUUACAGGUGUGAAUUUCUUUUGAUUAUCUCGUUCAUGCUUGCUUAACUGAUAGAGGAGCAUUUCUGUUACAGGUAACGAUGAUCUUGUACGAGUCGUUAAGGCUAUAUUCCCCAAUAACAGUACUUGCCCGACGAAUUUAUGAAGACAUUACGCUAGGAGAAGUAUCUCUACCAACUGGUGUGCUAGUCUCAUUGCCAAUUAUCUUAUUGCAUCAUGAUAAAGAUAUAUGGGGUGAAGAUGCAAACAAGUUCAAUCCAGAGAGAUUUAGAGAAGGAAUAUCAAGUGCAACAAAGGGUCAAGUUACAUAUUUUCCAUUUGCUUGGGGUCCAAGAAUAUGCAUUGGACAAAAUUUUGCCAUGUUAGAGGCAAAGAUGACUGUGUGUAUGAUCCUACAAAGCUUCUUUUUUGAAUUGUCUCCAUCCUACACACAUGCUCCUCAGUCCUUGGUAACCACUCAGCCUCAGUAUGGUGCUCCACUUAUUUUCCACAAACUAUAAUUUCAUAUUCUGUGAAGAGUUCAUUCAGACUCGAUUCAUGGGUGGAGUUACAAUAUUAAAUAUGGGUUCAGAAACAGUUUCUCUAUUUCAUAAAGAUAGGGGAUUAUGUGGUGUACUCUCCACUCUCCCCUGACCCUCACAUUGGGUAUGUUGUUUUUGUUGUUCAGACAAACUCAGUAGUUUUGGUUUAAAUCUUGCAUUUGUUUCGGGAAAUCCAUUAAAAAUACUAUACAUGGGAAUCCGUGCUAGCACGAGCCUAAUAUAUGUUGCUCUCUUAAUAUCAAAUUAUGUGAUAUAGUUGAAAUUUGGAGAAGUACCCCUAUUUUUUAUAUGGUUGUUAAAUAUUUUAAGCUGUCUACAUUAUUAUGUUUCAAUAAUUUUUAAAAUAUUCACCGAACUAUUUUUUCAAUUACUAAUUCUUUGUGAAAAUAAUAAGAAAAUACUCUCUUCCAAGACACUAAUCAUUUUUGACUUUGUCGAUUUCUUUUGCCUUUUCAUAAAAUAAAAUAGAUACAUAUUUUCCAUACGUAGUAGAUUCAAAUCGAAAAAUCAAAUCUAAAUAAUUUUGAUUCUCACAUUAAUAAACUGAAAAUCAAAUUGAAUAAAUAGAACUCGAUGUCAGCCGCUAAAAUUAAUAAGAUGAGGAAAAAAAGUGAAUGAUUUUGAUUUACAUGCGAUGAUUUUUUCAGUGGCAGGCUAAGUGUACGACUAUUGUACAUUGCUGGGAUGUGUGGAGGGUGGGGAUUCAAUCUAUGUUUUUUAGGAUUAUAAUUACAAAAAAGUCCUCAGAUAUUUGCCUUUGCUCAUCAAUGUCUUAAUUUCCCACAAACAUGGUAGAUAUAAAUAUAUAGUAGUAAUUUAUAUGCACACAUAAAUUUAAUUCAAACAAAAUGGACAAAAUUCAAAUAUUAGUAACAAUAUGUUGUUGUGUCAUAGCAGUUGCUCUGUUUGUGUGUCUAUGGAAAGUACUAAAUUGGGUUUGGUUCAGACCAAAGAAGUUGGAGAAAUUGUUGAGGAAACAAGGGCUAAAAGGGAAUUCAUACAGAAUAUUGUAUGGUGAUAUGAAAGAUUUUUCUGGGAUGAUUAAAGAAGCAAAUUCAAAGCCUAUGAAUAUUUCUAAUGAUGAUUUAUCCCCAAGAUUGGUGCCUUUCUUUCUUGAAAUCAUCAAGAAAUAUGGUAAGUUUUCGAACUCUGAUAACGGGUAAAGUUGUUGGCAUGUGAUUAGGAAGUUGUAGAUUCUAGCUGUGGAAACAGUCUCUUGCAGAAAUGUAGGAGCUUAGUGCAAACCCAUAGCUAAUAUUGUAGCUCCGCAAUCAUCAAGUAACUUAGAUAAGGAGUUUAAUUAUACAAUCAGGUUACUUAUUCUACAAUUACAAGCAAAUUUCCUGGUAAAUAUUAGUAACUGAUAGAAAACUAAAAAUAAAGUAGGGGUGGCAAAAUCAAACGCAACCCAUCCAAUUCGUUUAAGUUGACCCGCUCAUUCAUGAAGUUAAUGAGUUUUGAACUUGACAUCCAUAGCCCUUUUUUAGUUAUUGAGCAACUCUUGAAGUUGAUGUCAUGUAAUAAGAAAAUCACGGGGUUCAAGUCGUAGAACCAACCUUAUGUAGACGUGCACUUUCCGUAGAAAUGUGGGUAACCUUGCUUACAAUAGACUCUUGUAGUUCGUUCCUUUACACACCUGUGCAUAGCAGGAGCUUUAGUGGAUCGGACUACCUUAUACUAACUACUAAUCAGUGAUAUAAUGAUACAAGUAGUUAGAUUAGAUUCAUUAAUUUGUUAUCCAUUCACAAAUCUCUCAUUCAUUUUCACACACAGAGUUAGGAUUUGAAGUUCAAGCUUUUUGAACUUGAAGUUGUACCCAUAGUUCUCUUUAGUUACAAGGUUUGCAAUUAAAUAUCUAUACAUAUUUAUUGAACUUCCUAAUACAAAUAAGCAGUUUAGCUAGAAGCUCCUUGGUGUAUGCAGUUUGUUUCAACUUUUUUUCGAAUUCGAUGAAAUUGUAAUGAGCCUGUUCUCCUGGUUUGUUUAUCUUCUAAAGAACACUCUGUUCAUUUCGUUCUCUUCGAUUGUAUAGAUGUUUUAUUUCGAAAUUUGUACUAGUUGUAGUUAAUCAUGAGACAUAUACAUGUUUGCAGGGAAAAAAUGUUUUACAUGGAUGGGUCCAAGACCACAAAUACUAAUCAUGGAUCCUGAGCUUAUAAAGGAAGUACUCUCGAAAACCUAUGUUUAUCAAAAGCCUCAUGCAAAUCCAUUAGGCACAUUAUUUGUGCAAGGAUUAGUAACCUAUGAGAAAGACAAAUGGGCAAAACAUAGAAAAAUCAUCAAUCCCGCGUUCCAUCUAGAGAAGUUAAAGGUUUGUCAUUCGACUUCGUGAUUGGUCAACCAGAAACUAUUAUGUUGGGCAAUUCAUACUCUAUGUGUGCUAUUGCUUCUAUCUCCUUUGAUUUGCCUUCCUUAUGUCAUUUGACUAUUUCGAGUAAUAUGAUAUUUGCUGCCUGACUUGAUGUAGACAAUAGUGGUUCUAUAGGGACGGAUCUCGCCUGGAUCAUGAUUCAAUGUUCUAGAUUGUUCUUCCACCAAUCGAUAAUAUGUUCACUCUUGCUUCUUGUAUGUUCCACAUAUGACUAUAUUGAGUGAUUUCUACUACCUAGCUUGAGUUAGACAAUCAGAGAAUGAUUUUAUGGUUCAAAGAAGUCGAAUCUUGUUUGGAUCAUCAUUUGUCAGGACUCUCUUUGCGUAAGUUCCUUGGCUUGGACAGGGCAUUUAGUCCAUGUUGUUCUUUAUGCAUUCAGAGAGGACUAUGUUCGGUGGAAUAAUUUCUUAGAUAUGUUUACUAGAUGGUGAUGGAAUACGUGUUCCUUAUUCUGUUCAAGUGUUAGUGUUAUUGACAUUUUCCCUCGUUCACUAUUUUCUCGAACAGCAUAUGCUUCCAGCUUUUUACUUGAGCUGUAGUGAGAUGCUGAGUAAAUGGGAAGACGUUGUUCAAGUUGAAGGCUCUCAUGAGAUAGAUGUAUGGCCUCACCUGCAGCAAUUGACUUGUGAUGUGAUCUCUCGGACAGCUUUUGGCAGUAGUUAUGAAGAAGGUAGAAAGAUUUUUGAACUUCAACAGGAACAAACUCAGCAUUUUCUCGAAGUUACACGCUCAGUUUAUAUCCCAGGAUGGAGGUAACUUAAUUCUCCUAAGAAUUUGGAAAUGUAGCUAUUGGAAAUGCAAAUUGAUUAGUUCUAUUUUUUGUGAAUGCAUUUUGGUUUUGUGUUUCAUAAAACAAUUUCAAAGAUUUUUGCCAACAAAGAGGAACAGAAGAAUGAAGGAAAUAAAAAAGGAUGUUCGGUCCUCAAUUAGAGGUAUUAUUGAUAAAAGAUUGAAGGCAAUGGAAGCAGGGAACGCCGAUAAUGAGGAUCUAUUGGGCAUAUUGCUGGAAUCGAAUUUUAAAGAAAUUGAACUGCACGGAAACAAGGACUUUGGAAUGAGUAUCGAAGAAGUCAUUGAAGAAUGCAAGCUAUUCUAUUUUGCUGGUACAGAAACUACAUCAGUGUGGAUUCUGUGGACUCUGGUGUUGUUGAGCAGAUGUCCAGAUUGGCAGGCACGGGCCAGAGAGGAAGUCUUGCAAGUGCUUGGGAGUCGGAAACCAGAUUUUGAUGGAUUAAAUCAUCUAAAAGUUGUAAGUAUUCUUGUUGUUUGGUUCAAUUUCUAUGCCAUGGGUACUCUCGUUGUUAUUUCUACAAGCACGUGUGAAUUUCUUUUGAUUAUCUCGUUCAUGCUUGCUUAACUGAUAGAGGAGCAUUUCUGUUACAGGUAACAAUGAUCUUGUACGAGUCGUUAAGGCUAUAUUCCCCAAUAACAGUACUUACCCGACGAAUUUAUGAAGACAUUACGCUAGGAGAAGUAUCUCUACCAACUGGUGUGCUAGUCUCAUUGCCAAUUAUCUUAUUGCAUCAUGAUAAAGAUAUAUGGGGUGAAGAUGCAAACAAGUUCAAUCCAGAGAGAUUUAGAGAAGGAAUAUCAAGUGCAACAAAGGGUCAAGUUACAUAUUUUCCAUUUGCUUGGGGUCCUAGAAUAUGCAUUGGACAAAAUUUUGCCAUGUUAGAGGCAAAGAUGACUUUGUGUAUGAUCCUACAAAGCUUCUCUUUUGAAUUGUCUCCAUCCUACACACAUGCUCCUCAGUCCUUGGUAACCACUCAGCCUCAGUAUGGUGCUCCACUUAUUUUCCACAAACUAUAAUUUCAUAUUCUGUGAAGAGUUCAUUCAGACUCUAUUCAUGGGUUGAGUUACAAAUAUUAAAUAUGGGUUCAGAAACAGUUUCUCUAUUUCAUAAAGAUAGGGGAUUAUGUGGUGUACUCCCCACUCUCCCCUGACCCUCACAUUGGGUAUGUUGUUUUUGUUGUUCGGACAAACUCAGUAGUUCUGGUUUAAAUCUUGCAUUUAUUUUUGGAAAUCCAUUAAAUAUUUUACACAGGAACCCGUGCUAGCACGAUCCCAAUAUAUGUUGCUCUCUCAAUUUCAAUUUAUGUGACAUAGUUGAAAUUUGGAGAAUUACCCCUAUUUUAUAUGGUUUUUUAAAUAUUUUAGGUUGUCUACAUUAUUAUGUUUCGUAUUGAAUAAUUUUUAAAAUAUUCACUGAACGAUUUUUUCAAUUAUUAAUUCUUUGUGAAAAUAAUAAGAAAAUGCUCUCUUCCAAGACACUAAUCGUUUUUGACUGUCGAUUUCUUUUGCCUUUUCAGAAAAUAAAAUAGACAUAUAUUUUCCAUACACAGUAGAUUCAAAUAGAAAAAUCAAACCUAAAUAAUUUUGAUUCUCACGUUAAUAAAUUGAAAAUCAAAUUGAAUAAAUAAAACUCGAUGUCAGCCUCUAAAAAUAAUAGAUGAAAAAAAGAGUAAAUGAUUUUAUUGAUUGAUAUUAUGCUUUUCUAUUAUUUCAAGAAAGCAAGACGUUUGAACGUAGUUAUGUGUUACAUGCCAUGAUUUUUUUUACUGUUGCACAUUGAUGGGAUGUGUCUGAGGGUGUGGAGAUACAAUCUAUGUUUUUUAGGAUUAUAAUUACAAAAAAGUCCUCAGAUAUUUUCCUUUUGCUCAUCAGUAUCUUAAUUUCCCACAAACAUGGUAGAUAUAAAUAUAUAGUAGUAAUUUAUAUGCACACAUAAAUUUAAUUCAAACAGAAUGGACAAAAUUCAAAUAUUAGUAACAAUAUGUUGUUGUGUCAUAGCAGUUUCUCUGUUUGUGUGUCUAUGGAAAGUACUAAAUUGGGUUUGGUUCAGACCAAAGAAGUUGGAGAAAUUGUUGAGGAAACGCCAAUUUCUUAAUAAUUCAGUAUUUUAGACGAAGAAAAGUUCAUAUGACUUGUAAUAGCGCUAAUUGAAGUUUGAAUUAGUUUACUUUUUAUUAUUUAUUUAAUAGCUAGUUUUAUGAGAUAAAUAUUUUCAUUAAUGCAAAUAGGUAUUUGUAUUUAAAUUAAAGUAUUAUAUAUGUCAGAAAUGUAUUAUCAAGUUAACGAGAUCUUCUAACUUGAAAAUAUAUUAUUUUAAAAUGUCUGAGUUCUUUUUUAAAAAAAAAAAACUCACAACAAAAUGUGAAAAUAUGUGAAUAUAUAAAAUGUAGUUGUUCUCUUCACAUGUUCAUAUGACAUCUAAACAAUUUAACGUAGAAUACACAUGCAAAUCACAUCUGGUUAGAUGACAAGAAAAAUACAAAACAAACAUUGUCUAUAAGGUAAUAUUAGUGAGAUAAGACUAAUUACAUGAUUGAACCUAAUCAAAUUGAAAUAAAUAUAUACAUAAUUGCAUUUAACUAAUAAUUUUUUUUCAUUGACCAUCUUAAUAGGUUUGCGUGAAUACGAGAUAUAUAUGACGAUUCACAUUAAACAUUCACAAAAGAAUCUGCAAUAUUAUUUUUUGCUAACUUAUUAUUCAAAUCUUCGAUUAAAUAAGCAAUUCUAUUUACCAUAACAUAUAUUUUUGAAAUUGGUUAUCACGUGCAACGCAAGGUAGUAUUAGGUUAGCAACGCUUUCAAUCUUCAUUAGCGUAAUCAAGUUGGAACAAAACUAGCCUAUUACAUGAAACUAAUCAAAAUGUCUUUGGUCAUAUUUAUAGGUCCGGUUGAAAAAGAGACGAGCUAACCAUCAGAAUGCAACUUUUGAAGGAAAUACAACUAUUGUGAAAACUUUGAUAUUGAUAAUUAGGAUACAAAUGACUUCAAACUCUUGGAAGGUAUCCGCUAUUUUGGAACAAUGUCAUAAACAAAACCAAAUGUAGCUUCGAGCAAUAUUACAUAUCCGCUUAUUAUUUUGAGCUUUCGCACCACUAAAUGCAUCUAAUUCAAGACAAUUUGUCGGACUAAAUGGAGUAUUAUUUGUAAACAAAUAUUUGGUAACUAAGAAACAUCCAUACAAACAAAUCCCUUAAGACAUAUGCCAUAUAUUGAACAAAGAGAGUGUGCAUGCUUUACUGCUUCACAGUUGUAGGCAUGAACUAAUAUUUAGUAACUAAGAAACAUCCAUACCGACAAAUUCCUUAAAGACAUAUUCCAUAUAUUGAACAAAGCGAGUAUUCAUGCUUUACUGCUUCACAGUUGAACGCAUCAUGAGACUAGGCAACCACGUGCAACGCACGUACGGUGAAUCUAGUAUAUAUAUAUAUAUAUCCCUACUUUUAUACCAAUGACACUCACGUCUAUUGUCUAAUCUAAAUGGUCCUUAAGUUAAGAAGAUGGUCCCAUGCCUAAUCAAACUAGUCCUUUAAUGUAUAGGGGUUGGUUUGUUUUUUAUCCUUAUACUCAUUGACCAAUAUAAAAUUUAAAUAAAUAAGGAAAAAAGAUCUGAUAUAUUCUCAUCUUUGUCAUUUAGAAUUGAUAUAAUUUUUGUUAUAAAAGCAACUCACAUAUAUUUCUACUAUUACACAAAUGACUCACAUUUACCAUUUUCUUCGUGAGUGAAAGAAUUUAUUUUAAUUUUUAAUUUUUUUAAUUAAAAGAAAUAAUUCAUGUAGGGGUAUAUAUAUAUAAAAUUGGGGUAGAGGAAAUGGGGAGGAGAUUAUAACGUGGGGAGUCGAACCCACACCAAUAAGAUGGGAGUUCAAAUAGUCAAUCAACGUAGGGAUAUAUUUGAUCCUUCUCAUUCGUAUUUUUUUUAUUCAACAACUUUUGCAUUAAAGGACUAGUUUGAUUAGACAUGGGACCAUCUUCUUAACUUCAUGGGUUAAAACACACAAAAAAAAUGUGGAGAACAGGAUUGCAAAGUGGACAAGUAAAAGUGAAACGAGUCAUUAGAAAAUAAAAGAAAAUCCGAGCCAUUCUUGUUAUCUUAGGAUAUAUAAUUACGAAAAAAACCUCAGAUAUUUGUAUAAAUAAGUAAUAGGAACACAUAAAUUUAACUCAAACAAAAUGGAAAAAAUUCAAAUAUUAGUAACAGUAUGUUGUUCUGCCAUAGCAAUUACUCUGUUUGUGUGUCUAUGGAAAGUACUGAAUUGGGUUUGGUUCAGACCAAAGAAGUUGGAGAAAUUGUUGAGGAAACAAGGGCUAAAAGGUAAUUCAUACAGAUUAUUGUAUGGAGACAUGAAAGAUCUUUCUGGGAUGAUUAAGGAAGCUAAUUCUAAGCCCAUGAAUUUGUCUGAUGAUAUAACUCCAAGAUUGGUGCCUUUCUUUCUUGAAACCAUCAAGAAAUAUGGUAUGUACUAAAUGUCCUUUUUUUUUUGUUUAUUUAGAGAAUGAUUUGUUAUGCUUUCCUUUGUAUCUGCUUUGAUAUGUUUUUCCUCAAGUCAGAGGUCUAUCAGAAAUAAUCUCUAACCCAAGGCAGGGUAAGGUGUGCACAUGCUCUCCUCCAGACCCCACUUGUAGGAUUAUAUAGAGUAUGUUAAAAGAAAAAUAAGUCCCUUUGUGGAAUAGUUGUUUAGUAAUUUUAGGUACUUUUGAGAAAACUGAAGAUCUUAUAAGAAAACGUUAGAUCAUGCUCUAAAGUUUUGUACAUUAAUGCAAAUGUUAGAAGUCAAUUUCAUGUUUUGUCUGUAAGAUUAGGUAAUUUAUAAGCAAAACAUGUAUGGAGUGUACUCAAAGAUGCUUCUUAGGUAGAGGACGGGAAGUAUUUGUUCAAGAGUUGAAGAUAUAUUUUAGUAAAUAAAAACUGUGCUUUCUUUAAUACCUUAAACUUUUAGAUGGGUUGGUCACUCACAACAUGAUGUACGAGUAGGUAGAGGUUGUUACAGUGUCUAGUGGGUCAAAGUCCCACAUUGGUUGGGGAAUGGACUGGUGGUCUGCUUAUAUGGACUUGAGUAAUUCUCCUCUCAUGAACUAGCUUUUUGGGUUGAGUUAGACUCAUGUAUUAUAUCGUUAUUGAGGUCUUGGAUUGAGUCUGACGGCCACACACCUAUUAUAAAAAGAAUAUACACGUGAAUCAAACAAUGAUUGUGAUUAAUGAAGGUCUUGGAUUGAGUCCGAUGGCCAUACACCUAGGAGUAUUGUCAAAAAGAAUAUACACGUGAAUCAAACAAUGAUUGUGAUUAAUGAAGGUCUUGGAUUGAGUCCGACGGCCACACACCUAUUAUAAAAAGAAUAUACACAUGAUCAAACAAUGAUUGUGAUUAAUGAAGCUGAUUUAAUUGAGAAUGAUAAUAUAAGCUUUACAUAAUCCAAAUUAAACUUGUCCUUAAUUACAUAUGCUUGCAGGAAAAAAAUCUUUUAUUUGGUUGGGUCCAAAACCACAAGUACUAAUCAUGGACCCGGAGCUUAUAAAGGAAGUAUUCUCGAAAAACUAUUUGUAUCAAAAGCCUUAUGCUAAUCCAUUUGCACCAUUAUUGGUACAAGGACUAGCAACCUAUGAGGAAGACUGUUGUACAUUGCUGGGAUGUGUGGAGGGUGGGGAUUCAAUCUAUGAUUUUUAGGAUUAUAAUUACAAAAAAGUCCUCAGAUAUUUGCCUUUGCUCAUCAAUGUCUUAAUUUCCCACAAACAUGGUAGAUAUAAAUAUAUAGUAGUAAUUUAUAUGCACACAUAAAUUUAAUUCAAACAAAAUGGACAAAAUUCAAAUAUUAGUAACAAUAUGUUGUUGUGUCAUAGCAGUUGCUCUGUUUGUGUGUCUAUGGAAAGUACUAAAUUGGGUUUGGUUCAGACCAAAGAAGUUGGAGAAAUUGUUGAGGAAACAAGGGCUAAAAGGGAAUUCAUACAGAAUAUUGUAUGGUGAUAUGAAAGAUUUUUCUGGGAUGAUUAAAGAAGCUAAUUCAAAGCCUAUGAAUAUUUCUAAUGAUGAUUUAUCCCCAAGAUUGGUGCCUUUCUUUCUUGAAAUCAUCAAGAAAUAUGGUGAGUUUUCGAACUUUGAUAACUGGUAAAGUUGUUGGCAGGAAGUUGUAGAUUCGAGCUGUGGAAACAAUCUCUUGUAGAAAUGCAGGAGCUUAGUGCAAAUCCAUAGCUAAUACUGUAGCUCCGCAAUCAUCAAGUAACUUAGAUAAGGAGUUUAAUUAUACAAUCAGGUUACAUAUUCUGCAAUUACAAGCAAUUUCCUGGUAAAUAUUAGUAACUGAUAGAAAACUAAAAAUAAAGUAGGGGUGGCCAAAAUCAAACGCAACCCGUCCAAUUCGUUUAAGUUGACCCGCUCAUUUAUGAGUUCAAUCUAACCAAUUUCAACCCGCUAAAAGUUUGGGUUUAUAUGUAACCGAAGUGGUCUCACGGGAAAUCUUGUCAAAAAAAUUUAAAAUUCUUUUUUUUCAAUUUAAUUGUAUUAUAUAGCCAUAAAUCAUAAUAAAGAAAAAUAAUAAUUUUAUUAGGUGCUAAAAUAUUUUAAAAGACAGAGUAAAACAAUUAAAGUUAGUAAAAAUUGAGUUUGAUUGGAUCUUCACCCGUUAUAUGACCCAUUAUCUAAUCCAUUUUAACCCAAGCAAAUUUGGAUUGGGUUGGGGCUUCACCCGAUUGUUGUCUUUUAAGACAAAAUGGCACAACAUAACACCAUAUAGACUUAAUUAGCAAUAAAUAACCCACUUUUAAUUUUUUAGCAAAAAAAAAACUUUGUUUUAUUUAUUUGGCAUUGAAUAGUUAUUUUUCUUUUUCUUAAAAAAAUGUAUUUUUGUUCUCCUUUUUUUUUUUCUCAAACACACCUUUGAUUGCUGCUUUUUUUUUUUGAAAAGAAAAAAAAUAUUAUUUUAUUAUCCCUAUUUUAUCUCUUUGUUUCUUUUGUCAACCGGUUUAAAAUAGAGUUCUUCUCUUUUUUGUCUCCUUUUUCUCUUUCUAAAAUUCUUUUCAUACGUAUAUUUGAUUCUCUCCCUAACUUUCAAUUCUUCUCCUUAAUUCAAUUUGUUUAUGAAAAUCAGAUAUAACAAUAUGUUUUUUCAUGGAUACUUCUACAAAUCAUCUUUAUAUAUAAUCUUGUUCUUGUCCAAUUAAUUGUUUGUCACGACCCAAAAAUGGACGUGAUGACACUCAUCUUAUCCCACCAAAACAGGUCAGCCCUAAACUCAACCAUUACAAUAAAAUGCAGAAAUUUCAUAAUCAACUCAAAAAUACCCCAAAAUCUGAUUGUCACGUGUACAAGCCUCUAAAGUAUUACAAUUGAUUCAAAAGAAAAACACAAGUCUCAAAUGACCUUGUUUCUAGAAUAGAACGAGAUCAUAAAUAGGAGUAAGAAGGUCUGCUGAGAUUACAAACAGCUACCUCACAAAUCUCCAAGAAGCCUCGGAAAAUAAGAGAAUGGAAAGUAUCACAAAAUCCAGGCUCGUAACCUACAAAAAAAUUGUAGAAGCAAGGGGUGAGUACCAAACCACACAGUACUUAGCAAGUAAACCUCUAAACACAAGCUAAUGGGAUAGAAUACAGGUACUCCUUAUACCCCACCCGAACCUCCACAACUACAACCUGCAUAAAACCAGCCCAACCUAACUGUUCACAGUUUACAUAUCACCCAGCUCAACAACAAUCACUUUAACAAAUUACAUAUCCUCAACAACAAACUCAAUAUUCAUCAAUCACAACUUUCACAAAAAGGCACUCACAAAUAUCAGCAACACACAAGAUCAAGUUCAUCAAAUAUCAAGUGCUUUCCAACCACCAAUAAAACACAUAAUCAUCAAGAAUGAAAAAUGUCAUGGGAUGCAAUGCAAUAUGACACCAUGAAAUGAUAUGCCUCAAAAUACCAAGUACUCUCUCAACCGUAUAUACAUGAUACUCCUCGAAAAUACAUCAAGAGUUCAUGACCCAUGGGGGACUCGCGAGGUCCAUAUACCGACACGGACGAUCUCCACGUGUCUGUGCGGACGAUCUCAACGCACUAUCAUAAAUCAAGCAAAAUUCGCACGAACGAUCUCCACGUGCCCAAAUUAUAAUUUUAACAUCUCACCAUCCCCAACACGGACGAUCUCCACGUGCCUAACUUAUACUCAAUCACAUGUCAAUGCAUGUGCACAAUAUGAUUUCAAUAAAAAGGAUGAUGCAUCUCAAUCAAAUAUCAAUAUGAUAUGUAAUCACCUCAGCUAUCACCAGUAUACGGGUUCAAUAAAGAACACAAUCACACAUAAUAAAUCAAGUCAAUAAUAUAUCAGUUAAUGCCCAUAUGCUUUGGCAUUCUCGGAUUACAAUCCGCAUUCUAUAGUAAUAAACUUUCCCUUAUAACACCGGUACUCGUACCAAUGCCCGUCACAAACAGUUCUUAACACAUCACACACAAACAAUUAAUCACAUUGCCUUUUAUUACCCUUUUUCAUCAUUAGAAUUAAUCAAUGUGGACAAGUUAAUCCGUCACCAAGUCUCAUUACCCCCAAACACAUAUUACAAGGAAAUACACGAAUUCCAUACACUUAACAAUGGUUUAGAAAUUCACUUGCCUCAAUCAAUUAAGAAUUCACUCCGGAACUUGAGCCUUCCCCUUUCGUUGAACUUCUAACUCAAAGCAAUCUAUUCAAAUAAAUGACCACAAUAAGAUUUCAAAACUAUCAACACUUAUAUUACUAUGUGUCUAGCUUAGACCCAAAACUCACCCGGAUUUAUAAUUAAGUUUCUAAAUCUUGAUUCCAACCAAUAGGUCAAAUCUCAUAUUUCCUGAAUUUCAAGUCUAGGGUUAAAUCAUAAUUUCUCCAAACACUACAACCCUAAUAGUUUUCAUAUAAUAUAAUACACUCAAUAUUUAAUAAUAAUAAUGAUAAAUAAAUAAUUAAAAUAGAACCCAACGUCAAGUUACUAUAUCAGUAACUUAAGUCUAAGAAACUCAAUUUGCAGAUUGUGAAUUCAAUGUCAAAAUACAAGUAAUUAUUAAAUCAUUAGUAAGUAUAGGAUCAUCCAAUCAUUAUCUAAUGAUUACAUCCAUAUGGCAUGAAGGUAUUUGUUUCUCCAAGUAAAAAAAAAUACAUUAGAAUAGGUAUAUCCAUUCCUACUUGCAAUUCAAUUAUACUUACUUUUCACUUGCAACCCCACUUUAAUUCACAAUAACAAUGAUAUGUUCUUACCCAUAUAUACAAAUACAAAAAUUCAGGCAAUGAUGAUGAUUACAUUACCUGAACAGAAGGUCGCUUAAAGUUCUCUUCGUCUCCUUCGGUUACAGAUUUUAGCCGCAACUGAUUAAAUAUAAUACUAAUUACCUUUAACUCUGAAUUAUUUAAUUUUUACAUGGGCUAAGUGGUAUAGGAUAUUACUUAUAUGAGCAACUUCACAUAUAGCAAACAUAAAUUCAUAUUGUAUGCUAUAGCAAAGUUUGCAUAAUGCACUCCACAGCAAACAUAAAUAAUGUAUAUUUCGCUAUACAUAUACAAAAGAAAGCAGUUGUAUAAUCUGUUUUCGUAUACAUAUACAAAAAGAUCAAUUGUAUAAAGUGAGAGAGGCGAGUGAGAGAGCGAGAUCUGGGAGAGUGGCGAGCGAGAUUUGGUAGAGGGGAGAGAGGGGAACGGAAAUAUAUGUAUAUAUACAAUUUUCACGCAUUUUAUACAUUUGCGUUUUUGUAUAAAGUGGGAGAGACGAGUGAGAGAGUUAGAUCUGGGAGAGUGGCGAGCGAGAUUUGGUAGAGGGGAGAGAGGGGAACGGAAAUAUAUGUAUAUAUACAAUUUUCACGCAUUUGAUACAUUUGCGUUUUUGUAUAAAGUGAGAGAGCGAGAUCUGGGAGAGUGGCGAGCGAGAGCUGGGAGAGGGGAGAGAGGGGAACGAAAAUAUAUGUAUAUAUACAAUUUUCUCUCGCUUUAUACAAACACAAACGCACUUUAUACACUUGCGUUUGUAUAAAAAACAAGAGAUCGAGGGAGAGAAUGAGAGUGGCGAGCAAGAUUCACCAGGAGAGAGGUGAAAUAACAACAGUUUGCUAUGAGGUACAAUUAAAUCAAACUAUAUUUAUAGCAUUUAAUUUGAAUUAAUAGUUUGCUAUUAUAUACAAUUUUCCCUUAAAUAUAUUACUAGCUACCUAUUAUAUUAUAUGUGUGUGUGCAUUCACAUAUAGUAGGGGAGUAAUAUAUAUAUUUUUGGUGAAGGACCUUUGCACAUGCAACAUUGUCUGGUAGAAGACUCCAAGAAAGCCCUCCAUUCACCCACCCAACCACCCCCCACCAAGAGAGGAAAAAAUAAUAUGUUUAAUUAGUCAUAGUAAUAAAUAAUAACUAAUUAUUUUUUAAAUAUGGUACGAACCAUCUCUUCAGGUUGAGAGCGGUAUAGAAUAACUAACUAUUCUCCUUGUUCCACUUUAAUUUGGUCACGUAUGUUCUAUUCAAGUAAUAGUUAGGCAGUAUUUAAGAUUUUUCAAUUCAACCUUUUUUUUUCUUUCUAAAAUCCUUUUCAUAUGUAUAUUUUCUUCUCUUCUAAAUUUUCUCUUAUUCUCCUUAAUUCACCCUGUCUAUGCAAAUCAGCUAUAACUGUAUGUUUAUCGAUUUAUCCUUCCAAUAAUUUCUUUUAAUAUAUAAUUAUGUAGUAUUUCUUGCCCCAUUAAUUUUGAAAUUUUGUGAUUUGUGGAACUAAAGGUUUUAAAACUUUUUUUGGCGAAAAUUCAAAUAAUAGUUUUUUGAAAUUUUUGUUCUCAAUUUCAUGGGUGAGAAAGAUUCUCGUAAGAUCCUUGUAAAAAAUCAAAAUGUUGAUGUUGAUGAAUACAACCCAAUGUAUACCAAUGAAUACCAAUCUCAAUUUAAAUUAAAGUAUACAAGUUUAUUAUGUGAAUAAAAAUCACUGAAUACACAGAUGAAUACGAACUAAUGUAUACAUAGUGCAGUUACCGUAUACAUAAACAAAAUCAUAUGUAUAUUAAUGAAUAAAAUUUAAUUUAUAUAUGUAUCAUAUUAAUCUCAUUGUUGUAUUCAUUAUAGUAAUACGUAUAAUUGAUGGUAAUAUUAUUUUAUAUAUACAAUAUAAAGUUUAUGUAUACAUGCUACAAUUACUGUUAUACAUCAAUAAAAUUUACACGUUUAUUUUUAUGAAUUAUUUUUUGUGUAUACAUUAUUUUUUAUGUAUACAUUAUGUAAUCGCAACUUUAAUUAUUGUAUAAUUUAUGCAUAUGUGUUAUUACAGUUUCUAAUAAAAUGCCAUUUAAUAUUAUUUGAUUAAUUAUUGUUGAUUAUGUGAUAAUUAAUACACGUUAGAGCAUUAAUAAUACAUCUUUUAAUAAGUUAUUUAAAGAAUUUUAAAAAAUUUAUUCCUUAAAAGUUGGUGUAAACCUUUUUUUAAUGGGUUAAUUAAUAAAUAUAUAUAUUUCACUUCUUAAAAAUAGGUAUUCGGUUUUCUAAUAAACUAAUUAUUGUUGAUUGGUAAAAAAAAACAAUUCAUAAAAUUACAAUCAAAUAUAUCUUUAUGUUUAUGUAAAUUGUGUUAAUAUUUUUUUAAAUAAACAGUUAAAUAAAGUUGAGUUUGAGAAUUUAAAGAAAUUGAAAAGCUAACUUCCUUAAUUAUAGGAGUUAAAAACAAGGAAGAAAAAAUAAUCCCACAUUUCCUUAAUUUAUGAGGGUUGGUUGCACAUGAUUAAAAGGAAAAAAACUAUAAAAAGUUGGUUUUAUUUCUUUUAGGUUAAUACGUGCUAAUUUUUUUAAGACUUUUAAUUGCUAAUUAAUAUUGGGCUAUAUGUUGCCAAUUGUAUAUAAUAGUUGUAUGUCUGUUCAAUUCCUCGUCUUUUAACUCAUUAUGACCCAUCCAAAUUUGACCCAACUCGCCCAAUUGCCACCACUGAAAUAAGGUAACUGAUUUGUUAUUGUAAAAUUAAAAUGCACCAACUUUUACACUUUGAAUUUUCUAGUGAAUCAAUCAGGUGAGUUUUGUUUUGGUGGAAUCAAUUCAAUAAAAGAAAAGAAGAAAUUCAAGUCAGUUGAUUUAAUAGUUGUGUCUGUUGAUAUCCACAUACUCAGUGUAGUCCCACAAGCGAGGUAUGUGGAGAGGGUACAAUGUAAACACAUACCUUUGCAGGCUAGAGAGGUUGUUUCUGAUAGACCCUCAGCUCAAAAGAGAGGAUAUUUGAAGCACGAUUGCAACACCUGUUGAUUGUGUGUGUAUAUAACUUAAAUCCAUUCACAAAUCCCUCAUUCAUUUCCUGUAUUGAAAUCACCUUUUCUGGUAGGAAACUUUUGCUUGUUGUCUGUAGUUUGUUUUGAUUUUCUUCGAAUUCGAUGAAGUUGUAAUGAACCUGUUCUCCUGACUUGUUUAUGUUCUAAAGAUCUCUCUGUUCAUUUCGUUCUCUUUGGUUGUAAAAAUGAGACAUAUAUAUGUUUGCAGGGAAAAAAUCUUUUAUAUGGAUGGGUCCAAGACCACAAGUAUUUAUCAUGGACCCUGAGCUUAUAAAGGAAGUAUUCUCCAAAAUCUCUGUGUAUCAAAAGCCUGGUACAAAUCCAUUAAGCGCCUUAUUGGUUCGAGGACUAACAACCUAUGAGGAAGACAAAUGGGCCAAACAUAGAAAAAUCAUCAAUCCCGCGUUCCAUCUAGAGAAGUUAAAGGUUUGUUAUUCAACUCACAAUUGGUCAACCAAAAACUAUUAUGUUGGGCAAUGCUUAAUUAACGAUGGAUGAAAUGUGUGCUCUUGCUGGCUAUGUCUUUCCAUCUCCUCUGAUUUGCAUUCCUUAUCGUUCAAUCUAAAUGUUUAUGUGAUAUGACUAUUUCGAGUAAUAUCUGCUAUCUGACUUGAAGUAGACAACUAUAUGGUUCUAUCUGCGCAUGUAUUCCACAUAUGACUAUAUGGAGUGAUUUCUGCUGCCUAGCUUUAGUUAGACAAUCAGAGAAUGAUUUUAUGGUUCAAAAAAGUCGAAUCAUAUCUGAAUCAUCAUUUAUCAGGACUCUCUUUGUGUAAGUUCCUUGGCUUGGACAGGGCAUUUAGUCCAUAUUGCUCUUUUAUGCAUUCAGAGAGGCCUAUGCUCGGUGGAAUAAUUUCUUAGAUGUAUUUACAACCAAAUGGAUCUGUUUAUUCCUGAACUUGUUUCACCUUAAUUGUUAUAUGAACGAUCUUUCUUUUCAUGUAACCAGCAACUUGUACUAGAUGGUGAUGCAUCGAUAUAUAUUUUCCUAAUUCUGUUCAAGUGUUAGUGUCAUUGACGUUUUUCUUCGUUCAGCAUAUGCUUCCAGCUCUUUACUUGAGCUGUAGUGAGAUGCUGAGCAAAUGGGAAGACGUUGUUCAAGUUGAAGGCUCUCAUGAGAUAGAUGUAUGGCCUCACUUGCAGCAAUUGACUUGUGAUGUGAUCUCUCGGGCUGCUUUUGGCAGUAGUUAUGAAGAAGGUAGAAAGAUUUUUGAACUUCAACAAGAACAAGUUCAGCAUGUAAUCGAAGCUGUACGCACAGUUUAUAUCCCAGGAUGGAGGUAAAUUAAUUCUCCUAAGAAUUUGGAAAAUGUAGUUAUUGGAAAUGCAAAUUGAUUGGUUUUCUGUUUUGUGAAAGAUUUUUGCCAACAAAGAAGAACAGAAGAAUGAAAGGAAAAUAAAAAAGGAUGUUCAGUCCUCAAUUAGAGGUAUUAUCGAUAAAAGAUUGAAGGCAAUGGAAGCUGGGGAUGCCGAUAAUGAGGAUCUAUUGGGCAUAUUGCUGGAAUCGAAUUUUAAAGAAAUUGAACAGCAUGGAAACAAACACUUUGGAAUGAGCAUUGAAGAAGUUAUUGAAGAAUGCAAGCUAUUCUAUUUAGCUGGCGCAGAAACUACAUCAGCAUGGCUCCUAUGGACUAUGGUGUUGUUGAGCAGAUAUCAGGAUUGGCAGGCACGGGCCAGAGAAGAAGUCUUGCAAGUGUUUGGGAGUCGGAAACCAGAUGUUGAUGGAUUAAAUCGUCUAAAAGUUGUAAGUAUUCUAGUUUUGUUGGUUCAAUAUAUCAGCAUGGCUCCUAUGGACUAUGGUGUUGUAUUGAUCGAGUGCUUGAAUUUUAAAAGACUGGAGCUUUGAUACUAGACUAGAAGAUGCCAAUUGCCAUGGUUUCCUUAGGAAGGGGCAACUCUUCUACAAGCACGUGUAAAUUUCUUUUGAUUAUCGGUAGUGUGAGACUUGAACGUAGGAUUUCUGCUUGCUUUGACAUCACGUUGAAUUGUGUGACUAUCUCAUCUAUUAGAGAAUUAUGUCUUCUAUAGCGGAAAUAAUCUCAUUUUCGUAACUUCUCUUUAUGUUGGUUACAAGCAAGAGUAUUACUCCAUUCAUAGGAAGUCAGCAAGAAGCCCCAUAACUUGAGGAUAAGGGGUGCCUCCUCACAAAGGGGGCCGCAUUAACCAGGCCUGUGCAACCGUUUACAAGAACUUAGGUCCCCACAAAGUUGUAAUUAGACCAUGUGUGGGGUCUUACGCCUGCUUAGUGCCAUAAGGUCAACUAAGUUGGUGACCUGAUGACAGGGGAGCCAGAAAUUUAAGUAACUUUUUACAGGUCUCGUUCAUGCUUAUAUAACUGAUGGAGGAGCAUAAGUUUUUUGCAGGUAACGAUGAUAUUGUACGAGUUAUUAAGGCUAUAUUCCCCUACAACAGCACUUAUCCGACGGGUUUAUGAAGACAUUACACUAGGAGAAGUUUCUCUACCAGCUGGUGUGCUAGUCUCAUUGCCAAUGAUCUUAUUGCAUCAUGAUAAAGAGAUAUGGGGUGAAGAUGCAAACAAGUUCAAUCCAGAGAGAUUUAGAGAAGGAAUAUCAAGUGCAACAAAGGGUCAAGUUACAUAUUUUCCAUUUUCUUGGGGUCCAAGAAUAUGCAUUGGACAAAAUUUUGCCAUGUUAGAAGCAAAGAUGACUCUGUGUAUGAUCCUACAAAGCUUCUCUUUUGAAUUGUCUCCAUCCUACACACAUGCUCCUCAGUCCUUGGUAACCACUCAGCCUCAGUAUGGUGCUCCACUUAUUUUCCACAAACUAUAAUUUGAUAUUUUGUGAGAGCUGUCUUGUAAUUUAAUAAAGUUUAUUCAAACUUGUUUAGGGGUGUAGUUACAACUAUAGAUACGGGUUAAGAAAUAACCUUUCUACCUCACAAGAAUAGGUAAGAUCUACUUAAACCUUAUGCUCACAAACUCCACUUGUAGAAUGUUUGGACGAAUUCAGUAACUCUUGUUUAAAUCUUGUAUUUGUAUCAAGAAAUCCAAUAAAUUUAUAUAUAAAUAUAUCAAGAAAUCCAUUAAAGAUAAUUGUUUCACUAAUGGCAUGGAAAAAAGUGUUAAACUUAAUAAUUUGUUUUGAAAAUUUUGUUAGAAUUAGGAUUUCAGACUAAAUUGACCACAUUUUUAUUUAUAGGGGAAAAGGCUUGAUGUAUAUCUCAUAUUUGCUAUUUAGAGCUGAUAUAACAUUUAUUAUAAAAGUGGCUCAUAUAUAUAUAUAUAUAUAUAUGAAUGGCACACAUGUCUAUUGUCUAAUCUAAAUGGUCCUUAAGUUAAGAAGAUGGUCCCAUGCCUAAUCAAACUAGUCCUUUAAUGUAUAGGGGUUGGUUUGUCUUUUAUUCUUAUACUCAUUGACCAAUAUAAACUUUAAAUAAAUAAGGAAAAAAGAUCUGAUAUAUUUUCAUCUUUGUCAUUUAAAAUUGAUAUAAUUUUCGUUAUAAAAGUGACUCACAUAUAUUUCUACUAUUAUAUAAAUGACUCAAAUAUACCAUUUUCUUCUAAUGUGAGUGAAAACAAUUAUUUUAUUUUUUUUUAAUUAAAAGAAAUAAUUCAUGUUGGGAUAUAUAUAUUUAUAUAUAUAACGUGGGGAAUCGAACCCUCACCAACAAGGUGAGAAUUCAAAUAGUCAAUCAACUAAGCUACUAAACUUCCACAUGUAGGGAUACAUUUGAUCCUUCUCAUUCGUAUUUUGUCUUGUAAUUUAAUAAAGUUUAUUCAAACUUGUUUAGGGGUGUAGUUACAACUAUAGAUACGGGUUAAGAAAUAACCUUUCUACCUCACAAGAAUAGGUAAGAUCUACUUAAACCUUAUGCUCACAAACUCCACUUGUAGAAUGUUUGGACGAAUUCAGUAACUCUUGUUUAAAUCUUGUAUUUGUAUCAAGAAAUCCAAUAAAUUUAUAUAUAAAUAUAUCAAGAAAUCCAUUAAAGAUAAUUGUUUCACUAAUGGCAUGGAAAAAAGUGUUAAACUUAAUAAUUUGUUUUGAAAAUUUUGUUAGAAUUAGGAUUUCAGACUAAAUUGACCACAUUUUUAUUUAUAGGGGAAAAGGCUUGAUGUAUAUCUCAUAUUUGCUAUUUAGAGCUGAUAUAACAUUUAUUAUAAAAGUGGCUCAUAUAUAUAUAUAUAUAUAUAUGAAUGGCACACAUGUCUAUUGUCUAAUCUAAAUGGUCCUUAAGUUAAGAAGAUGGUCCCAUGCCUAAUCAAACUAGUCCUUUAAUGUAUAGGGGUUGGUUUGUCUUUUAUUCUUAUACUCAUUGACCAAUAUAAACUUUAAAUAAAUAAGGAAAAAAGAUCUGAUAUAUUUUCAUCUUUGUCAUUUAAAAUUGAUAUAAUUUUCGUUAUAAAAGUGACUCACAUAUAUUUCUACUAUUAUAUAAAUGACUCAAAUAUACCAUUUUCUUCUAAUGUGAGUGAAAACAAUUAUUUUAUUUUUUUUUAAUUAAAAGAAAUAAUUCAUGUUGGGAUAUAUAUAUUUAUAUAUAUAUAACGUGGGGAAUCGAACCCUCACCAACAAGGUGAGAAUUCAAAUAGUCAAUCAACUAAGCUACUAAACUUCCACAUGUAGGGAUACAUUUGAUCCUUCUCAUUCGUAUUUUUUUUACUCAACAGCUUUUGCAUUAAAGGACUAGUUUGAUUAGACAUGGGACCAUCUUCUUAACGUCCUGGGUUAAAACACACAAAAAAAAUGUGGAGAAGGAUUGCAAAGUGGACAAGUAAAAGUAUCAAAUGCCUUAUGCUAAUCCAUUUGCACCAUUAUUGGUACAAGGACUAGCAACCUAUGAGGAAGACAAAUGGGCCAAACAUAGAAACAUUAUCAAUCCCACUUUCCAUCUAGAGAAGCUAAAGGUUUGUCAUACAGUUCUUCGCUUUUCCUCCUUCAACUUUGUGAUUGGUCAACCAUAAAUUAUUAUGUUCACAAUUUUUAGUCCACGAUGGAUAAAAUGCUGGCUCCUGCUUCUUUGACUACUGCUCCCUCGAAGCCAUUCUAUCUCCUUUGAUUUGCCAUCUUUAUCUUUCAAUCUGAACUUUUAUGUAUUAUGCAUAUGACUAUUUCUAGUAAAUUCAUCAUUUGUCAAGACUCUUCUAUGUAAGUUCAUAGGCUUGGACGGGGCAUUUAGUCUAUGUUUCUCUUCCUUUAUUCAGACAGUAUUACAUUGGUGUAAUAAUGUCUUAGAUAUAUUACAGCAAAAUGAAUCUUUUUUAUAUUAAAGAGAUUUGUAAUAUUGUUGAAUGUGUUUCACCUCAAUUGUUAUUAGAACGCUCUUUCUUCUUGUAAUUGAGACAAGAUAUGGAGAAUAAUGUGUAUAUUCCUCAAAGACUACAAUGAUAUAAAUACAUGCAUAGAGCAAUCUAACUAUGGCAACUAGAUAUUCAGAGCAAUCUAACUAUGGUAACUAGAUAUUCAAAUCCUAGAAAAUCAUCUAUAUUAUCUAUAUUUAUUAUACAACUAUGAUUCUGUAACACUCCCCCUCAAGCUGGAGCAUAUAUAGAUAUUCGUCAUGCCCAGCUUGUUACAAAGAUAAUCAACUCGAGUCCCGUUCAACGCUUUUGUGAACAAAUCAGCUAGUUGCUCUCCUGUCUUCACAUAACCAGUGGAAAUCACAUUUUCCUGAAUCUUCUCAUGAAGAAAAUGGCAGUCGACCUCAAUAUGUUUAGUUUCAUGGUACACCGAAAUUGAGGCAAUAUGAAGAUCAACUUGAUUAUCACACCAAAGUUUUGCUAGUGUAUGAUGCUUUAACCCAAUUUCAGUUAAAAUGUGAUGUAUCCACAUAAUCUCACACGUAGACUGUGACAUAGCUCUGUACUCGGAUUCUACACUAGAUCGAGAUACAACAUUUUGCUUCUUACUUUUCCAUGAUACUAGGUUUCUUCCAACAAAGACACAAUAACAUGUAGUAGACCAUCUAUCAAUUUUGGAUCCAGCCCAGUCAACAUCUGCAAAACACUCAACACGAGUAUGACCGUGUUUGCUAUACAAUACGCCAAGUCCAGGAGCUCCUUUCAAGUAACAUAAAAUAUGUUCCAAAGCUUCCCAAUGUUUAAUCGUAGGUGCAUACAUAAAUUGGCUAACAACACUUACUAUAAAAGUAAUAUCUGGACGAGUCACAGUAAGGUAGUUUAGCUUCCCAACCAACCUUCUAUAUCCCUCUGGAUCAUUAAGAGGAUCGCCAUCAUCUUUCAUAAGAUGCACAUUUGGAACCAUUGGAGUAUUGCAAGGUUUGACAGCCAACUUUCCAGUGUCUGCAAGCAAGUCAAGAAUAUACUUUCUCUGAGACAGAAAAAUUCCCUUCUUGCUUCUAUUUACUUCUACUCCCAAAAAGUAUUUCAACAUGCCUAAUUCAUUCGUAUGAAACCUAGUAUGUAGGAAAGGCUUGAGGGAAGAGAUCCUCACAUAAUCAUUUCCUGUGAUGACAAUGUCAUCAACAUAUACACCAAGAAAGAUAGUUCCAACUAACGAUUGUCGGUAGAAGACCGAGUGUUCACAUCUGCUCAUUUUCAACCAAAAAUCUUGAACUACCUCACUUAAUUUGCCAAACCAACCCCUAGGACUUUGCUUCAAGCCAUACAAAGACUUCUUCAAAUGACAGACUUUCUCAUACUCCCCCUAAGCAACAAAACCAUUUGGUUGCUCCGUAUACACUUCCUCUCGAAGAUCACCAUGAAGGAAUGCAUUCUUGACAUCCAACUGAUUCAGAGGCCAAUUCUCAGAAGCAGCUAGAUAAAUGAAUAAACAGACAGAAUUGAGUUUGGCAACUGGAGAGAAGGUGUCCGAAUAAUCUAUACCAUAUGUUUAAGCAUAGCCUUUAGCCACAAGUCUCCUUAAGCCUUGCUACAGAACCAUUUGGAUUCACUUUAAUUGUAAAGACCCACUUACAUCCCACUGGUUUCUUUCCUUUGGGUAAGUCCACUUAAUCCCAUAUAUGAUUUUCCUCUAAGGCAUGUAUUUCAUCAAGCAUUGCGUCAGACCAUCAGGAUGAUUUAAAGCCUUAUUCACUGUUUUGGGUACAAAGAUAGAGUCUAUAAAGGCAAUCAAAGAUCUAGAUAUGGAGAAUAAGUGACCAUAUGAAACAAAAUUAGCAAUGAAAUAUGUGGAUUUGCAAGUACGUGUACCUUUGCGAAGGGCAAUAGGAAGGUCAAGAUUUUCUGGAGGAUCAGGCAGCAGAACUUGUGCAUGACAAGUAUCAUCAUUCUCUCUUCUCCUUGAGUAGACUUGAACAACUGGUGGUCUUGUUGCCGUAGAUAGAGCAGGUACUAAAAGUAGAAUAGUCGGGUCAUGAUCAACAAAAGAACUGGGAGAUGAAGGAACAACACUUGAUUGUUCUGUCACAACACGAGUGACUUGAUAUACUAACCACUCAUCUUCCUCCCAUGACUUGUAGAAAUGGGAGGUGCAUAAAAGAAUAGUGUAGUCUCUAAAAAUACCACAUCAUUUGAUGUAAGAUAUCUGCCAGUUUCAGUACCAUAACACAAUAUCCUUUCUGAAGACGAGAAUAGGCUAGAAAAACACACUUCAAAGCCUUGGGAUCUAACUUAGUAACAGAUGGUCGAACAUCUCGAACAUAACAUGUGCGUCCAAAUACCUUAGGUUCCACUGGAAAAUAGUGGCUUAUUUGGAAAAAGAACAUUGUAAGGUGUAUUACCGAAAAGCACAGUAGAUGGCAUGCGAUUAAUAAGAAAACAUGCCGUAGAGACCGCAUCUGUCCAAAACUGUUUAGGGACCUUCAUUCGAAACAACAGUGCCUAGGGGUGUUCAUGGUUUGGAUAAAAACCGAUCCAAACCGAAAAACCAAACCAAACCGAUUAAAUGAACCGAUUUAAUUUGGGUUUUGGUUUGGUUUGGUUUUAGAUUGUUAAGAACCGAUAGUAUUUGGUUUGGUUAUGGUUUUGUUCGAAAAAAAUCGAAGAAAUAACCGAACCAAACCAACAAGUUAUAUACAUAAAUUUUAUUAUUAUACAUACAUAAUAUAUUAUAUUCAUAAACAAUUUUAAAGAUUUUAUAUAUGUUUCAUCAAAAUUUAUUUAUANNNNNNNNNNNNNNNNNNNNNNNNNNNNNNNNNNNNNNNNNNNNNNNNNNNNNNNNNNNNNNNNNNNNNNNNNNNNNNNNNNNNNNNNNNNNNNNNNNNNNNNNNNNNNNNNNNNNNNNNNNNNNNNNNNNNNNNNNNNNNNNNNNNNNNNNNNNNNNNNNNNNNNNNNNNNNNCUUCUAGGCCAAUAUAGUGAAUUUUAAAGCUUUAUUGAUAGUAAAUUUAGUGAUUGAAAAUUUAGUAAUUUAAGUCAUUCUAACUAUUUUUCGUUUUGAAUGGAUUGUUGUCACUUUUUUCACGUUUUGAAUGAAUUGUUUCUUUUAUUUUUAUUUAUGGUUAAUAAUCGAAUAACCGAACCAAACCAAACCAAAAUCGAAAACAACCAAACCGAUAAAUAUAUAUUAUAUUUGGUUUGAUUUAGUUUUGAUAAUUUUAAAACCGAUUAAAUUAGUUUGGUUUUGAUUUUGACCAAUAACCGACCCAAACCAAACCGUGAACACUGCUAACAGUGCCUGAGCUGUCUCAAGCAAAUGCCUAUCUUUCCUCUCAGCAACUUCAUUUUGAGAGGGUGUAUCAACACAUGAAGACUGGUGGAGAAUACCUUGUUGUCUUAUAUACGAUCCAAACAAUUCUGACAUGUAUUCUUUGGCGUUAUCACUCCUUAGAAUACGUACCAAAACAUUGAAUUGAGUUUUCACUUCAGCAUGGAAGGCACAAAGUGAGUAAACACUUCAGAGCGACUCUUCAUAAAAUAAAUCCAACUCAUUCGAGAGAAAUCAUCCACAAAAGUGACAAAAUACAUGUUUCCUGUUUUAGAAACCACAGGACAUGGUCCCCAAAUAUUAGAAUGAACUAACUCAAAUGCCGACUCAACCUGCUUAUUAACCCUUGGAGGUAAUGAGAUGCGAUGAUGCUUUGCAAAUCGGCAUGACUCACACUCCAAUGAAUAAAUAUUUUGAAACUAAGGACACAACUUCUUCAACAGAGGCAGAGAAGGAUGACCCAAUCGACAAUGUGCUUCAAAUGGAGACAUGAUAGUAGAGCAUGCAACCAAUCGAGGCUCCCAUUCAUCAAGAAUGUAGAGAUCAUCAGAAAUAUGUCAUUUACCAAUAACCUGAUUCAUCUUAAGAUCCCGAAUCAAACAAUGAUCGGGAAAAAAUGAGAUAUAACAAUUAAGGUCCCUAGUAAGUUUACUGACAUAAAUCAAAUUAAAGGCCAAUUUUGGUAGACUUAAUACAUAAGACAGUGUAAUGGAAGAGAUUGGUUUAACAGUCCCAAAUCCAACACUAUUACAAGUUGAUUCAUCAGCUACAGUAGCCGGAGAGGGUGCUUUAUGUGAUUGAAAGCUAGAAAAAAAUAUUAUGAUUACCCGUCAUAUGAUUUGUCGUACCUGAAUCGAUCACCCAUUUAUUUAGAAAGGUGAGAAGACAUAUUUUAUCUGCCUCAAGAAAGGUAUUAACAGAAGUGGAUUCAUUUUGCUGAACAGAUGCAACAACUGAAGAUCUUUGACUUUUGUAAUCAAUCAUUUUUCCAAAAAUAGUAGAUCUGAAAACUUAACUAGAGUAAAAUUCACACCAACUGAAGCAAUCCAACAAAACUUUCCAGAAUUUGAAGGAGAAAAUGGAGCAGGAACCACAUAUAUAACAACCCAAACCAAUAAAGUUUCACAACAUUCAGCUGCCCCACCGUGGCUACCAAAUAUUACAAAUCUCCCAAACAAAAGUAUUUAUUUUACGAUCAACUAGAUUUAAACCAAACAAACUAAAUGUGUCAGAAUAUUCUACUCCCACAACCAAAUUAUUAUAACUGCUCAAAUAAAACAAACCAGAUCUCCAGCAACAAAAACACCAACAAAUCGAGAAAGAUAAAACCAGGAUGAUGUCAAAUCUAUCUAAAAUCUGAAUAUUUUGAACAACGUACACCAAUUUCUGACUGAAAAUGUUGAGGCGACGAGCAGGCGGUGAUCAAUUCUACCAUGGCGACAGAGCGCGAGAGCGGAGAGGUGGAGGUAGCAGCGUGUGACUCACUCGCUGCCACCCUAAUAUUGGGUGACCCAAAUUGUCGAGUCCUUUUCUUCAACAACCAGAAAAGCUGCGUAAUUUUGGAGCAUAAGAACUGAGUGGCUCUGAUACCAUGUAAUUGCCAAGAUAUGGAGAAUAAUGUGUAUAUUCCUAAAAGAGUACAAUGAUAUAAAUACAUGUAAAGAGCAAUCUAACUAUGUCAACUAGAUAUUCAGAGCAACCUAACUAUGGUAACUAGAUAGUCAGAUCCUAGAAAAUCAUCUAUAUUAUCUAUAUUUAUUAUACAGCUAUGAUUCUGUAACACUUCUAUUAAACUAGAGGGUGAUGGUAUCACUAUAUCUGUAUUACUAAUUCUGUUUCAAGUGUUGUGUCAUUGACAGUUGUUCCCUUACAUCAUUUUCUCAAACAGCAUAUUCUUCCAGCUUUUCACUUGAGUUGUAGUGAGAUGUUGAGCAAAUGGGAAGACGUUGUUCCAGUUGAAGGUUCUUGUGAGAUAGAUGUAUGGCCUCACCUUCAAUAAUUAACUUGUAAUAUAAUCUCUCGUACAGCUUUCGGUAGUAGUUACGAAGAAGGUAGAAAGAUUUUUGAACUUCAAAGGGAACAAGCUCAGCAUUUUAUCGACACUGUACGCUCAGUUAAUAUCCCAGGAUGGAGGUAAAUUAAUUUGCCUGAGAAUCGGAAAAUUGUAGCCAAAGCUAUGUUGUUUGGACUCUUAAAUAAUGAUGGUUGCAUGUUGGAUCCUCCAAAUAUUAGUGCAUUUCUAUAGGAUCCAACAUGCGUGCAAUAACUAUUUUGGAGAGUCCGAACAACAUAGAACCAAAGUUCUCUAUUACAAACUACAAAGCUCAUUAUGAGAUACACGUAGCUUUCACUUCAUCUUUCUUAUCUAAUGCAUUUUGGUUUUCUGUUUUGUUAUACAAUUUCUAAGAUUUUUGCCAACAAAGAGGAACAGAAGAAUGAAGGAAAUAAAAAACGAGGUACGAACCUCAAUUAAAGGUAUUAUCAUUAAAAUAAUGAAGGCAAUGAAAGCAAGGGAUGCCGAUAAUGAGGAUCUAUUAGGCAUAUUGCUUGAAUCAAAUUUUAAAGAAAUUGAACAGCAUGGAAACAAGAGUUUUGGAAUGAGCAUCGAAGAAGUCAUCGAAGAAUGCAAGUUAUUCUAUUUUGCUGGCCAAGAAACUACAUCAGUCUUGCUCGUGUGGACUCUUGUGUUGUUGAGUAGGAAUCAAGAUUGGCAGACACAGGCCAGAGAAGAAGUCUUGCAAGUGUUUGGGAGUCGGAAACCAGAUUUUGAUGGAUUAAAUCAUCUAAAAGUUGUAAGUAUUCUGGUUUUGUUGGUUCAGUUCAUGUGACAUGAGUUCCUUCUCUCAUUGUUAUUACUAUUGCUUGAUUACAUAAAUUUGAAAAGAUUGGAGCUUUGUGAUUCUAAUGUUUGAUUGUGGACUAGAAGAUGCCAUGAUUUCCUAAUUAAAGAGGGGGGGAUGGGCUUUUUUCAAGCACGUGUGAAUUUCUUUUGAUAAUCGUGAGGUGGACAAGAUGAAGGAGGCGAGGCUAAGAUGGUUCGAACAUGUGCACAUGGGGUGUGAGGAGUUGGCAGGGGUGGGUUUAACGAGGGGUAAAAGUAGGCGGAAGAAGUAUUUGGGAGAGGUAAUUAGAUAGGAUAUAGCGCAACUUCAACUUAUUGAGGAUAUGUAGGUCGUGAAUUAGUGUAGAAGGGUAGAAGGUAGUUGAGCAUUGUCUCUCUCCUCUGCAGGGAGGCUUGGUGGGAAUAUAGUACUAGCAUUAUUCGCGAAGUUUCUUGUUCUUUGGUUACCGCUAAUACAUGUUGUUUCUUGUGCUUCACUUAUCACAUUAUUCUGCUUUGGACGAUCAGUUACGUUUUCUCUACUAUUUGCUUUGUCUUAUUUGCUAUGCCCUUCUGCCUCUGUACUGUCUUUUUUCAAACUGUUAUGGUUACUUGAGCCUAGAUUUUUUCGGAAAAAACCUCUCAUUCUCCACGAGGUAGGGGUAGCGUACACUCUACCCUCCCCAAACUCACUUGUGGGAAUACAUUGGGAAUGAAAGUGUGUUGGUUUUGUAAUCAUGGGGUGAGACUAGUUGAACUCAGGAUUUUUGUUCAGUCUGAUACUAUGUUGAAUUGUGUGACCAUCUUAUCUACGAGUUUAAGCUAUUAAAGACUUAUAUGUCUUUAACAAUAGGGUUGAUCUCAUUUCCCGAACUUCUCUCUAUGUUGGUUACGUGCUAGUGGAGUAUUCCACUGAACGAUGGCCAUUCAUGCUAAAGAUAUAACUGAAGGAGAAGCAUUUUUUUUUGCAGGUAACGAUGAUCUUGUACGAGUCAUUAAGGCUAUAUUCCCCAUUAAUGACACAUAACUGAAAGGCGAAUGAAGACAUAGUAUUAGGAGAAUUGUGUCUACCAGCUGGUGUACUAGUCUUAUUGCCAAUGAUCUUAUUGCAUCAUGACAAAGAUAUAUGGGGUGAGGAUGCAAACAAGCUCAAUCCAGAGAGAUUCAGAGAAGGAAUAGCAAGUGUAACAAAGGGUCAAGUUGCAUAUUUUCCAUUUUCAUGGGGUCCAAGAAUAUGCAUUGGACAAAAUUUUGCCAUGUUAGAGGCAAAGAUGACUUUGUCUAUGAUCCUACAAAGCUUCUCUUUUGAAUUGUCUCCAUCCUACACGCAUGCUCCUCAAUCCAUAAUUACCACUCAGCCUCAGUAUGGUGCUCCUCUUAUUUUCCAUAAACUAUAAUUUGAUAUUUUGUGAGAUGUGCGUACACCCCACCCUCUCCAGACAAACUCAAUAGCUCUUAUUUAAACCUUGUGUUUGUAUCAGGAAAUCCACUAAAUAUAUACAAAUAGUUCAUUAAUAUCAUGUUGCAAGAGUAGUUAUUUUCACAAUAGAGUAUACAAAUCUUACUACUAUCUCGAGGUAAAGAAAAUGUUAUCAAUAAAUCAGCUCAAGAACCAAUGAGAAGCUUAUUGUUAUGACAAAUUUAGAAAGUACCCUUGGAUAUUCUACAAACAACACAUAAGCUAAAGAAUUUGUGGAAAAAGUUAUUGUUCUUUUGGUAAUAAAAACAUGUGACAUGCUAGUAAGCACAGCCGGCCUUCUUGGCCAAUGAAACCACUACAUGCACUUGUACACAAAUUUUUUUAUUUUUAAAAUUUUGGAUGUCAACAGUUUUUAGUGAAAAAAAUAAUUAAAUAGGUUGAGUAGUUUGGAAGUAAAACUUUUAUAUUAGAAUGAUUUUUGAGUUUAAACUUAAAGUUGAAUGACUUUUUAAGAGAAAAGUUUAUAACUGAGAGAUCUUUAUGAGAUUUUAUUUCGUGAGUUUGUAAGAGAAAAUUUAAAAGUUGAGUGAUUCUAUCAUCUUAAAAUUUAAAACAUUUUUCACCUUACAGAAUAUGUCUCGAGUCUAUACACCAAUUAAUAUUAUAUCGUAUGAAGUGACAAGUAAAAAUGAACAAAAAUGGUAAAAGAUAAACUAAAAUAAAAUCAGAGCCACUCAUGCUGUCUUAAUUACGAAAACACCUCAAGAUAGUUACCUUUUCUCAUCAUUGAUGACGACAUCGUUUGUUAGUUCCCUAGUAGCUAUAAAUGGUAAUUCAUAGUGACACAGAAAUUCAACUCAAACAAAAUGGACAAAAUUCAAAUGAUUGUAACGGUAUGUUGUUCUGCCAUAGCAAUUGCUCUGUUUGUGUGUCUACGGAAAGUACUAAAUUGGGUUUGGUUCAAUCCAAAGAAGUUGGAGAAUUUGUUGAGGAAACAGGGGCUAAAUAGGAAUUCUUUCAAAAUAUUGUAUGGGGAUUUGAAUGAUUAGGGAAGCUACUUCAAAGCCCAUGAAUUUGUCUGAUGAUAUAGCUCCAAGAUUGGUGCCUUUCUUUCUUGAAACCAUCAAGAAAUAUGGUACUCCCUUCGUCCCAUUUUAUGUGAGGUAAUUUGACUCGGCACAGAGUUUAAGAAAGAAAGAAAAACUUUUAAAACUUGUGGUCCAAAAUGAAUGAUAGAAAUUUGUGUGCCUGUAAAUUAUUUCAUUAAAAGGUAAAAUAGACAUUUUUAUAAUUAAAUUGUUACUUAAUAAAGAAAUGUGUCAUUUUUUUUGGACUGACUAAAAAAAAAAGUAAGUCAUAUAAAUUGGGACGGAGGGAGUAUGUACUUUGCUUAUUGGUUUUCUUUGUUCUACUUAAUGUUCCUUAUUUUCUCUAGAGUACCCUUGUAGAAUUAUACCGAGUAUGUUAAAAAGUAACAAAAAGUCCCUUUGUGGAAUAGUUGUUUAGUAAAUGACCAUCUUUUAGUUUCUUUUGCAAUACAUUGACUUUAGAUACUUUUGAGAAAACUGAAGAUCUUAUAAGAAAAAUGUUAUAUGUCUUUCUUUAAUAUCUUAAACUUUUAGAUGAGUUGGUCAAUCAUAAUGUCAUAUAUAAGUAGGUAGAGGUUGUUACAGUGGGUCAUAGUCUACUUAUAUGAACUUGAGCAAUCCUCUUCUCAUGAGCUAGCUUUUGGUUGAGUUAAUCCCAGUGUUAUGUCUUUACACGUUGUAGUUUCAGAGUCAGGUGCAUCCCCGUUUGGGCGUCGGUCCACAUUCCAGUUGGACCUAGGCGUGAUGGAGGUGUUAGAAUAGGUCAAAGUCCCAUAUCGGUUGGGAAUUGGACUAGUGGUCUGCUUAUAUGGCUAUGGGCUUGGAUAAUCCUCUUCUCAUGAUCUAGCUUUUUCUGUUGAGUUAGACUCAGGUGUUAGAUCUUUACAGAGGUCCUGGUUUGAGUCUCACCGCCACACACCUAUUAUCAAAAGGAUAUACACAUGUUUGGUUCUUAAAGUGAAUCAAACAAUGAUUAUGAUUAAUGAAGCUGAUUUAAUUGAGAAUGAUUUGUACUAGUAGUUAAUCCAGAGACAUAUUCUUGCAGGAAAAAAAUGUUUUAUAUGGUUGGGUCCAAAGCCACAAGUAAAAAUCAUGGACCCUGAGCUUAUUAAGGAAGUACUCUCGAAGACCUAUUUGUAUCAAAAGCUUGGUGGAAAUUCAUUUGCAGCAUUAUUGGUACAAGGACUAGCAACCUAUGAAGAAGAUAAAUGGGCCAAACAUCGAAAAAUUAUCAAUCCCGCUUUCCAUCUAGAGAAGCUUAAGGUUGCUUUUCUUCCGCGUCCUCCUUCAAAAUUUGUGAUUGGUCAGCCAUAAAUUAUUAUGUUCGGACACGAUGGAUAAAAUGCUGGCUCUUGCUUCUUUGGCUACUUCUCCCUCUAAGUCUUUCUAUCCCCUUUGAUUUGCUAUCCUUAUCUUUCAAUCUAAAUUUUUAUGUAUUCUACAUAUGACUAUUGCAAGUAAAUCUUGUUAUUUAACUUGAGUUAGACAAGUAUAGAAGGGUAUUAUGGUUUUCAUUGUCAAAUCUCGUACCAUCAUUCAAUGUUCUAGAUUCUUUAUCUUAUUGCAUCAUGAUAAAGAUAUAUGGGGUGAAGAUGCAAACAAGUUUAAUCCAGAGAGAUUUAGAGAAGGAAUAUCAAGUGCAACAAAAGGGUCAAGUCACAUAUUUUCCAUUUGCUUGGGGUCCUAGAAUAUGCAUUGGACAAAAUUUUGCCAUGUUAGAGGCAAAGAUGACUUUGUGUAUGAUCCUACAAAGCUUCUCUUUUGAAUUGUCUCCAUCCUACACACAUGCUCCUCAGUCCUUGGUAACCACUCAGCUUCAGUAUGGUGCUCCACUUAUUUUCCACAAACUAUAAUUUCAUAUUCUGUGAAGAGUUCAUUCAGAAUCGAUUCAUGGGUGGAGUUACAAUAUUAAAUAUGGGUUCAGAAACAGUUUCUCUAUUUCAUAAAGAUAGGGGAUUAUGUGGUGUACUCCCCACUCUCCCCUGAUCCUCAUAUUGGGUAUGUUGUUGUUGUUGUUCGGAUAAACUCAGUAGUUCUGGUUUAAAUCUUGCAUUUGUUUCAGGAAGUUCAUUAAAUAUACUAGACAUGAGAACCCGUGCUAGCAUGGACACAAUACAUGUUGCUCUCUCAGUUUCAAUUUAUGUGACAGUUGGAAUUUAGAGAAUUACCCUUAUUUUUAUAUGGUUUUUAAACAUUUUAUGUUGUCUACAUUAUUAUGUUUACUGUUACAAGUAUUGAAUAAAUUUUAAAAUUGCCAUUGAACGAUUUGUUCAAUAAUUAAUUCUUUGUGAAAAUAAUAAGAAAAUGCUUUCUUCCAAGACAUAAAUCAUUUUUGACUUUGUCGAUUUCUUUUUCCUUUUCAGAAAAUAAAAUAGACAUAUAUUUUUCCUACCUAGUAGAUACAAAUCGAAAAAUCAAACCUAAAUAAUUUUGUUUCUCACAUUAAUAAACUGGAAAUUGCAUAAAUAAAACUCAAUGUCUGCCUCUAAAAAUAAUAGAUGAGAAAAAAAAAGUAAAUGAUUUUAUUGAUUGAUUUAUAGACCUACUUAUUAUGCUUUUCUAUUAUUUCGAGAAAGAAAGCCAGACGUUUGAAAGUAGAUUUUUUUUUCCAGUGCCCAAGUGUAUGACUGUCUCACAUUGAUGGGAUGUGUCGAAGGGUAGAUGCAGAGUUAGAAUUAAGAGUUUGAGGUUCUAAAUUUUAGAACAGAAGAGAAAAAUAUUGCAAAGCAAUGCUUCCUUUAAAAACAAAGAGACAAUUUUUUGUUGAUAGUGGUGUUUGAACCCACAACAAAUGUGUGAAAGACAUUUUCACCGCCCUUACUUACCAUUGAAUUGUCAAUCAAUUUUGUUAGAGGUUCACAUGAUAUACAUAUAUAUUUAUUUAAUUUUCUAAUACAAAUACAGGCUCUACGGAAAAGCUAGUGGGUUCGUACGAACCCACGAAGCCCCACUUAGCUCCGCCCGUGUCGGAGGAUGGGAUACAAUCUAUGUUUUUUAGGAUUAUAAUUACAAAAAAGUCCUGGAUAUUUGCCUUUGCUCAUCAACGUGUCACGACCCGCCACUUUGCCCUUCAAAUUUGGCAUAAAAAUAAGGGAGAAGAAUCUAGAGUUAUGGAGAUAUUAGUGGAAGACUCUAGAAUUCCCUAAAUAUUUUUCAGAAAGGCUUUAGAAUUCUCUAGACUUGUAGAGAAUUCUAAAUUAGGGACUAAAAUGAUAAUAUGUAGGGACUUGUGUAGUAAAUCUUAUUUAUACUUUGGCCCUUAGAAAAUAGUAUAAAUAGAGGUCUCUUAUUUGUAAGUUAUCCAACAAGUUGUAAAGCAAUCUUCCAAGCUAUAUACAAAGUUUUUAAAAAGCUCUCUUGUCUCUCUUUGAGCUUUCCUAACUUUCCUCUUUCAUUUGCGAUAUUAAGUUUCAAAGGCUUCCUUGAGCUUACAAGAUCGUGAAACGUGAGUAAGUUGACAAGUAUUGCACGGAGCUUUAGUGAGACAUAUAUAGUGGACACACAAAUUUAAUUUAAACAAAAUGGACAAAAUUCAAAUAUUAGUAAUAGUAUGUUAUUGUGGCAUAACUAUAACUCUGUUUGUCUAUGGAAAGUACUGAUGUCACGCCCCGAGCCUACACCCUGGGCGGGACCGGCACUCGAAGACCAUUGCUGGCCCCAAGUGAAUCCUUGGUCUGGCUUACUUAACUCAACAAAAUAACUCCAUGCAGUGAAAGGUCAUAAAACAACCCAACUGAUAAAAUCUUGGCCAAAAAGGAAACUCGAGUCUCAAAAUAGAAUAUUUACAUAUAUACAUAGACGAGAGACUCAAUACUAACUGACUGACUGUCUGUCUAUGAAGCCUCUAACAUACUGAGAUGGAUGUUGGGNNNNNNNNNNNNNNNNNNNNNNNNNNNNNNNNNNNNNNNNNNNNNNNNNNNNNNNNNNNNNNNNNNNNNNNNNNNNNNNNNNNNNNNNNNNNNNNNNNNNGGCAGACCCCGCAACAUCCGAAUAACACAAAACUAAAAGAAAAAAAAUAUCUGAGUCCUCCGAAAAAUAAGGAGGCUCACCACUGACUCUGGAGUGCUCAGCUGGAUCAACGACGUGCUGGAUGCUAAUCCUGGGUACUUGCGUCUGCAUCAUCAUAGAUGCAGGCCAACUGGCAUCAGUACAUUGAAUGUACGAGUAUGCGAGUUGGAAAGCUAAACAACAACUUAAGCUUGAAAGGAGUACAACGGAACACUUACCUUGGCUCUGUUCAACUCAUGAAUAACUGAACUCAAAUGUAAAGCAAUAAGACACAUGCAAUACAUAUAUAAAGCUUGCAACACAGUGUAAACAACUUAGUUCGUUAAUGAUUAAAGCANNNNNNNNNNNNNNNNNNNNNNNNNNNNNNNNNNNNNNNNNNNNNNNNNNNNNNNNNNNNNNNNNNNNNNNNNNNNNNNNNNNNNNNNNNNNNNNNNNNNCCUCUUCAAUUAUUUCGUAUUGCCGGAUGUUACAUGAUCUCAUGUUUAUGAAUGAGUUCGUGACGUCUAGAUGUACCUUAGAGUGUUGAAAACAACUAUAAAACAUAGGUACAUUACCAAGGAACAUGUAUGAAAAAGUGGGGAAGGAAUGGGAAGGAUUGGCGUCCUUGGCGCUCUGAGAGGCGCGGGGCGCCAGACCUCAAAGCUCAGAAGGCCUGGUGGGGCGCUCUGCAUGGCGCGCCGCCUCAAGGGUGGAAGCUUAGAAUCCCUUUUGGGGCGCGCUGGCUGGCGCGACGCCCCAGCCUUUUUCCUCAAAAAUCCGACUUUUCUCCUUUGUUUUUCCAACUCUAAACCUUCGUAACUUCAAAGGUUCCAGCCCCAAACACUUAGAAUCAUAAAAACCCUUAACAUACAAUAGAUUCAACUUGAAAUCACAACCGGAAACAUGCACCAAACCAACAAGAAACUUCAACAACACAACCACAACUUCAACAAACACAACCAAUCUUUUCUCAGAAUUAAACGAGUUUAGCGUGUGGGGGAAAGAACCAACCCAACACUAUGAUCUCACAUACCUUAAUAGGGAUCACCCCCGACGAAAACCACGACGAUCUUGAUGAAUCCUUGCUUCUUCUUCUCUUUCUCCUCUUCUUUCUCUCUUCUCUCAAAAGCCCUAACUCUCACUUUAAAAAGGAAAAACUGAUUUAAAAUCAGUCUAAAACCUUAAUAUAACCAAAAGAAAUGGUUAGGGAAAAGACCAAAAUACCCUUACAAAUUCGGACUAAACUGCCCUGUGCCAACAACCCAACUUCCAAAGGGCAUAACUCACUCAUACGAACUCGGAAUCGAGUAAACUCAGCGGCGUUGGAAAGAUAAUUCCAAGAGAUUUCCAAAAAUAACUGUAAAUUCACCUAACACAUCCUGAUAUAGGAGUUAUGACUGCUCAAAGUUGACCAAAAACUCAUUUUUUCCCAUACUUAACCAAAUUUCCAGAUUUUUGAAUUCUUUCCAAAAUGACUAUUUCAAAUUUCCAGCUUCUUCAUAGUUAUUUCAACUUACACGAUGUUACAACUGAAGUGGGUUUGGUUCAGACCAAAGAAGUUGGAAAAAUUGUUGAGGAAACAAGCGCUAAAAGGUAAUUCAUACCGAAUAUUGUAUGGGGAUGUGAAAGAUUUUUCUAGGAUGAUUAAAGAAGCUAAUUCAAAGACUAUGAAUAUUUCUGAUGAUUAUUUAGCCCCAAGAACAGUGCCUUUCUUUCUUGAAAUCAUCAAGAAAUAUGGUAAGUUUUCGAGCUCUGGUAACUGGUAAAGUUGUUGGCAUGUGAUUAGAAAGUCAUAGAUUCGAGUUGUGAAAAUAGUCUCUUGCAGAAAUGCAUGAGCUUAGUGCUAGCCCAUAGCUAAUAAUGUAGCUCCGCAAUCAUCAAGUGGCUUAGAUAAGGAGUUUAAUUAUACAAUCAGGUUACUUAUUCCACAAUUACAAGAAAUUUUCCUGGUAAAUAUUAGUAACCGGUAGAAAUCUAAAAGUAAAGUAAGGUUGGCAAAAUCAAACCCAACCCAUUUAAGUUUGGACAGGUUAUUGACCCAUCCAUUCAUGAGUUCAACCCACUAUAAGUUUGGGUUAGUAUCCGAAUUGGCUCAUGAGAAAUCUUGUCAAAAUAUUAUUAAUUUUUAUUUUUCAAUUUGAUAGUUUUAUAUAGCCAUAAAUCAUAAUAAAGAAAAAAACAAUUUUAUUAGGGGCUAAAAUAUUUUAAAGACAAGUAAAACAAUUAAUUUUAGUAAAAAUUGGGUUGAGUUGAGUCUUGACCUGUUAUAUAAUUCAUCACCUAACUCAUUUUGACCCAACCCAUUUUAACCCAAGCAAACUUGGGUUGGGUUGGGUUGGAUUGGGUCGGGUCGGGUCUUCAUUCUAUCGUUGUCUUUAACUCAUUAUGGUCUGCCCAAAUUUGACCUAAUCUGCCCAAUUGCCACCCCUAAAAUAAGGGUAACUAAUUUGUUAUUGUAAAAUAAAAAUGCACCUACUUUUACACUUUGAAUUUUAUGUUGAGCCAGUUGAUAUCCACAUGCUCGGAGUGAGGGUAAGGGCUCACCUGUUGAUUGUAUGUACUACAACAUACUUAGUGUAGUCCCACAAAUGAGGUAUGGGGAGAGGGUAAAAUGUAAGUGAAUCCCUUUGCAAGUUGUUUUCGAUAGACCCUCGGCUCAAAAGAGAAGAUAUUUGAAGCACGAUCGCAAUACUUGUUGAUUGUGUGUGUAUAUAACUUAAAUCCAUUCACAAAUCCCUCAUUCAUUUCCUGUAUUGAAAUCACCUUUUCUGAUAGGAAACUUUUGCUUGUUGUCUGUAGUUUGUUUUGACUUUCUUCGAAUUCGAUGAAGUUGUGAUGAACCUGUUCUCCUGAUCACUCUGUUCAUUUCGUUCUCUUCGGUUGUAUACAUUUUUUUAUUUCAAAAUUUGUCCUAGUAGUAGUUAAUCAUGAGACAUAUAUAUGUUUGCAGGGAAAAAAAGUUUUAUAUGGAUGGGUCCAAGACCACAAGUAUUUAUCAUGGAUCUGAGCUUAUAAAAGAAGUAUUCUCCAAAAUCUAUGUGUAUCAAAAGCCUGGUACAAAUCCAUUACGCGCCUUAUUGGUACUAGCAACCUAUGAGGAAGACAAUUGGGCCAAACAUAGAAAAAUCAUCAAUCCCUCCUUCCAUCUAGAGAAGUUAAAGGUUUGUCAUUCAACUUGUGAUUGAUCAAUCAGAAACUAUUAUGUUGGGCAACGAUGGAUGAAAUGUGUGCUCUUGCUGGCUAAGUCUUUCUAUCGCCUCUGAUUUGCAUUCCUUAUCGUUCAAUCUGAACGUUUAUGUCAUAUGACUAAUUCGAGUAAUAUCUGCUAUCUGACUUGAAGUAGACAACUAUAUGGUUCUAUCUGCGUAUGUAUUCCACAUUAUGACUAUAUUGAGUAAUUUCUGCUGCCUAUCUUUAGUUAGACAAUCAGAGAAUGAUUUUAUGGUUCAAAAAAGUCGAAUCAUAUCUGAAUCAUCAUUUAUCAGGACUCUCUUUGCGUAAGUUCCUUGGCUUGGAGUCCAUAUUGCUAUUUUAUGCAUUCAGAGAGGACUAUGCUCGGUGGAAUAAUUUCUUAGAUGUAUUGACGACCAAAUGGAUCUGUUUAUUCCUGACCUUGCUUCACCUUAAUUGUUAUAUGACCGAUCUUUCUUCUGAUUUAACCAGCAACUUGUACUAGAUGGUGAUGCAUCAAUAUAUAUUUUCCUCUCUGUUCAAGUGUUAGUGUCAUUGACAUUUUUCCUUGUUCACUAUUUUCUCGAACAGCAUAUGCUUCCAGCUUUUUACUUGAGCUGUAGUGAGAUGUUGAGCAAAUGGGAAGACGUUGUUCCAGUUGAAGGCUCUCAUGAGAUAGAUGUAUGGCCUCACAUGCAGCAAUUGAGUUGUGAUGUGAUCUCUCGUAUAGCUUUUGGCCGUAGUUAUGAAGAAGGUAGAAAGAUUUUUGAACUUCAAAAGGAACAAGUUCAGCAUUUAAUCGAAGCUGUAUGCACAGUUUAUAUCCCAGGAUGGAGGUAAAUUAAUUUUCCUAAUAAUUUGGAAAAUGUAGCUAUAGGAAAUGCAAAUUGAUUGGUUUUCUGUUUUGUGAAAGAUUUUUGCCAACAAAGAAGAACAGAAGAAUGAAGGAAAUAAAAAGGGAUGUUCAGUCCUCAAUUAGAGGUAUUAUCGAUAAAGAUUGAAGCCAAUGGAAUCUGGGGACGCCAAUAAUGAGGAUCUAUUGGGCAUAUUGCUGGAAUCGAAUUUUAAAGAAAUUGAACAGCAUGGAAACAAACACUUUGGAAUGAGCAUCGAAGAAGUCAUUGAAGAAUGCAAGCUAUUCUAUUUAGCUGGCGCAGAAACUACAUCAGC